UUUCUAAAUAAUAAUAAGUCUUAUUCUACAUUACAGUUUUCAGGGAUUACCUACACUUGACUCUACAGGUAAUACUACUAUAAUCGUCGUCCUAUUUCCUUUUCUAUAACAAUUUCAAAAUACUUCGCAUUAAUAUACGCGAUGUGGGAUUUCAUUGCCAGUUGAGUCUAAAAAUAAUUAUUAAGAAAUUGAAGGAAGGCUUUAGCCCGCCCUUACCGGUUGUAGUGCUUCCAUUGCACGGGGCUGCGUGCCACCGCAGCCGCUGAAACUGUAUAAAUACGCAGCAGGCGCCACCUUCAGGGACAUAACGAUCCCAGAGUCCACCGACGAUGAACACUAUGGAGGUAACCAUCGCUCCAACACCACCAUACCAUCAUGCUGCUGCUUCAAGAUAGGUACUUACCUAUUUAGGAAUCAGUUGCAAACAUUCAGUGUUUUUUUGUUUCGGCAGGUAUUUUUCAACGGUCUAACAGUGUGUGGAGCCCUGGCUGGAGUGGUGCCAGUUGCUACGGUGUCUCCAUAUUCCCGUCACCUGAUAGGGUAUAUGUAUAUGACCCGGCUCGGCACUGUCGAUCCGGUCAGCUUCGCCGAUGUCGCUCCCGUUUAUGAAUACGAAGCCUAUCCUCAGUAAGCCUACGGAUACGACAUUGAUUAUGACAUGAUCAUUGAGCUGCCCGUUGACGCCUAUGAGAAGGGCCACGCUGGUGAUGGAGCGCUGGGAUCGUACUCUAUAGUGGAGCCUGACGGCACCUGGCGCAUCGUGGAGUAUACAGCCGACUUCUGUAAGAAGUUCAACGCGGUCAUGUACACAAGGCGGCUGUGCUGAACCCAGCAGCUACCCCAGGCCCCCACUCCGGCACUAAGCUAAGCAACCUGCUUUACAGCGAGCAUGUCCCUUCUACUGCUGGUAUUAGCACUGGUGUAGCGAAGUGAAUUUAACGUAUUUUAUACAUAACGAAAUUUUCCGAUUACGGCUCUUGUAUACCUAGUCAAAUAUAUUUAAUAGUAAGUAUAGUGUAUUAACCAAUGUAUUUAUUGUUAGUAGGUAGAUUAAAUAAAAGUGAGAAAUCCCCCUUA